UACGUAGGUGGCAAGCGUUGUCCGGAAUUAUUGGGCGUAAAGCGCGCGCAGGCGGUCCUUUAAGUCUGAUGUGAAAGCCCACGGCUCAACCGUGGAGGGUCAUUGGAAACUGGAGGACUUGAGUACAGAAGAGGAAAGCGGAAUUCCACGUGUAGCGGUGAAAUGCGUAGAGAUGUGGAGGAACACCAGUGGCGAAGGCGGCUUUCUGGUCUGUAACUGACGCUGAGGCGCGAAAGCGUGGGGAGCAAACAG
rnacentral:rRNA from 1 species